UAAUCAGAAUGGAUUGCUAACGGAGGAAGGGUUCGUUCCCUAUAUGGGUUUGUUUCCUGAGAAUUCCCCUUGACUUCUACAUUGUAUAAUAUAUCCUGAACAAAACACAGCUAAAAAAGGAAAAUAGUAACACUGAUUCUACCCUAAAUAGCAUUUAAUACUGCCCAUCGCUGCAGUAUCUGAGAACAAGAUAUACUAUUGCUGAUGCAGUACAAAGUUCAUGGAAUAUCAAGUGUUGGUAAUCUGUGCUCUGAGCCUGUGAAUGUAUGUGCAAAUGGAUCAGAUCCACAGCUGGCAUCUGUCUGGCUCCAGAUCUGGUCCAGUAAGUUUCUAAAGAGUAGUUCAAGUCAGACCAUUGAAAACUUCCAAAAAAAGUCCCAGGGCAUAUGACAGAAAUGGCCAAGUGGGACAGCACAGUAGAAGAAAGAAAUCCUGUGGGUUCAUUUCUUUAAAGCACAGAAGUCAUUAAUCAUUUCUAUUCCUCGCCAUUUGAAACAGCUGCCUGCCUGCAUUUGCUAAGUAACUGCUUUCCUAACCACACAGAAACGAGGCUGUGGGCCCCAGAACGCUUAUGCUUCCAGAUAUUAACAAAUAAUUUCCCUCUUUCGCUGUGUCAAUGAGAGCACGUUAGCAUCCUUAGCAUCUGGUUUUGGUCGUGAAAUAACAUGCUAGUGUUUCCACACUUCAUGAAUUCCUUCCAAAAAUCUCGCUUAGUGCUUAUCUUCUCAGCUGAGGCUUCAGAAGUUCAAAGGCAUGACUUGAAAAUCUCAGCGGCCUUCUACCUUUUACCGGUGACGCAGAACAUUGCUCUUUAUCAAGUUAGUAAAUAAUCUCUCCUAUCAUGCUUAUUUGCUCAUCUUCUUGUAAAACUGAGUUACAUUUUCCAUGUAAGCUCUUUACUUCGAAAAGCACGCUGUCAUCUCUACAGGCUAUUGCAAUUAGUGAAAUGCCAGCCAGCAGGUGGAGACGCAUGAAAGCAAUCUCAAUUCAUAGACAGGCUGCUUUGACAUUUCAUUCCCAUAGCCCUGGCCAAGCACUAGAGCGGGCCAGAGCCAGAAAAUAUAGCUAUUGGUUUCAUGGAAAAGUUCAGAAUUAAAAUCUUGGAUGGCUGACAAACAUGUGACAGAGCAGCUUCUGCAGCAUGACUGCUGCACACAAAGCCGCACUAGCGAGCUGUCCCGGCAGCACCUUUCAUGUAGCAGUGCGUGGUGGAGGGAGGGAAGCCUGCUGCUGCUCCCUCCUGACCUCGCUUCAUUCACUUUGUUCAGCAGUCCGGAGCUGCCUGUCAGUGUCAGCUGUGCCGAGUGAUGCAAGGAGCCACGCGCGCCUCGCGAUUCAUCAGCUUCCAAGCUCUCUCUGCUGGAGAGCAAUCGAGCUCAGAGUGACUCAGGCUGGGGACUUUGGGAAUGCACGGCAGGAAUUUGCUACAUCGAGUCUGCAAAACUGCCUUCAGAUGAUUUCUCUGGCCAUUUAGAAGCCCUGUGUUCAUUUGACUCAGGUUUGCAGCACUGUAACAUCAGUGACUUCUGUGCUGUUGCCCCGACAGAGGAAUCGGCGUCCGCGUGAGCGUGCUUGUCAGGAGUUUACAGAUGACAAUGGUCACACGCGCACACUGCCUGACGAUAAG